GUUGGGAAUCUUGGACAAUGGGGGAAACCCUGAUCCAGCCAUGCCGCGUGAGUGAUGAAGGCCUUAGGGUUGUAAAACUCUUUCGGCGGGGACGAUAAUGACGGUACCCGCAGAAGAAGCUCCGGCUAACUUCGUGCCAGCAGCCGCGGUAAUACGAAGGGGGCUAGCGUUGUUCGGAAUUACUGGGCGUAAAGCGUGCGCAGGCGGCUUUUCAAGUCAGUGGUGAAAGCCCGGAGCUCAACUCCGGAACUGCCAUUGAAACUGUUUAGCUAGAGUACGAGAGAGGUGAGUGGAAUUCCCAGUGUAGAGGUGAAAUUCGUAGAUAUUGGGAAGAACACCGGUGGCGAAGGCGGCUCACUGGCUCGUAACUGACGCUCAUGCACGACAGCGUGGGGAUCAAACAGGAUUAGAUACCCCUGUAGUCC
rnacentral:rRNA from 1 species